UGGAGAUUCAUCAUCAUUGUGGACCACGCCGAGAGCAGCAGUAUCAUCUGCAGGUUUAAACAUCAAGCAGAGGCACUCGAAGGUAGAGUUGAUGGACUCAUUUGAGCAGCAGGGAAACGCAGGAGGGGAGCAAGAUAUUCCGAAGGGAUAUGGCGGCUGCUGCUGAGAGUGACAGGGCUGCAGUCCUCGAGGCAGGUUUCCAUGCCUUUUUCUUCAGAGCUGAAACAAUGGGUUGGACGUGUGCCUGUGAUCGGAAGCUGAAAUCCCAGUGUCUGCAGUGUGGUAUCACCACUGGAUCCCUGAGAGAGACCCCUAACCCUCAAUUACUCCAGUGACUGGCUGACCCUGUUCUCUUAAAAAAAUAAAAGGGUAUUGAUUUGAAUAAAAGUAUCUGCCAGAUCAGGGGUGUCAAACUUCAGUCCUGGGGGGUCAGAGCCCUACAUAUUUUUGGGUUUCCCCUCAUUUAACACAUCUGUUUCAACUCCUUGCACCUCCUUGUGCUAAUUACCACACAGCUCUUCAUCCCUAUGAUAGAUAAACCUUUUUAAAAUUAUAUUCUUGGAUAUAUCUACUUUGAACAGUGCUGUUCUUCCUGGGUUGGGUCUUUGGUCAAAAUGGGCCUCCGGAACCAGUUUGAUUGUUACUUCCCUCCACACUCUCUUUUCACUUGGUGUUAAUCCCAGCCAUACCCUGCUGCUUAAAUGAGGCAUAACGCUGGCAACAUGAGACUGGGAACCAGUGUGAUGA